UGCCUCUUGUGCGCGGCGAAGCGCGCGUAAGUACCGGUAGGGAGCGAGCACCCAUCCCCGAAAUUUAUUCGGCGCUAAAAAAGCUCUUUGGAGAUUCUCGGUUCUGACUGCGGAAACCCCAUAGCCUCCAUCUGCGGCCCUGCAGUGGGGUACGGUCAGACUUAGAGUCCGGUCGGGGAGAUUGACCUCCUUGUAGUAGCCGGUGGAUACCGCAGAUUCUAGGGAAGACCCACUGAUGGCGAAAGUCAGAUCUCUGCGUCGUUACGUGACGCUGAGGAGCGAAAAGGGUGGGGAGCAACCAGGCUUAGCUACCCUGGUAGUCCACCCCGUAAACGUUGGGAUCUAGUUGUGGGGUCCAUUCCACGGAUUCCGUGACGCAGCUAACGCAUUAAGUCCCCCGCCUGGGGAGUACGGCCGCAAGGCUAAAACUCAAAGGAAUUGACGGGGACCCGCACAAGCGGCGGAGCAUGCGGAUUAAUUCGAUGCAACGCGAAGAACCUUACCAAGGCUUGACAUAUAGAGGAAACGUCUGGAAACAGUCGCCCCGCAAGGUCUCUAUACGGGUGGUGCAUGGUUGUCGUCAGCUCGUGUCGUGAGAUGUUGGGUUAAGUCCCGCAACGAGCGCAACCCUCGUUCUAUGUUGCCAGCACGUAAUGGUGGGAACUCAUGGGAUACUGCCGGGGUCAACUCGGAGGAAGGUGGGGAUGACGUCAAAUCAUCAUGCCCCUUAUGUCUUGGGCUUCACGCAUGCUACAAUGGCCGGUACAAAGGGCUGCAAUACCGUAAGGUGGAGCGAAUCCCAAAAAGCCGGUCCCAGUUCGGAUUGAGGUCUGCAACUCGACCUCAUGAAGUCGGAGUCGCUAGUACUCCCCGAUCAGCAACGCUGCGGUGAAUACGUUCCCGGGUCUCCUAGGCAGCCCCCGUC
rnacentral:rRNA from 1 species